ensembl:lncRNA
UGAACGUUCAAUCCUGAGAGUCUUGCCUGUUACUGGUUCUGUCUGCGUUUUGCCCUUUGUUGAAUGUUGACUAUCAAAGUCCUUUUUUGUUUUCCACACUGCGUUUGAGUCCUGCCUCCACCUACCCGUUCGUGACACACACGAUACCGCUGUUUCUAGAGUCUCGACUCAAACAAGUCAGCACUUACAUAUUUGAUUUCUCACAUGGAAACAUGUCGAUGAAUGACUUAUGGAUUAUCACUGGCGUUGGGCUCCCACCAUUGGAUAAAACCCAAGGCUGACUUACGAAUGCAGUGUUCUGCUGCAGGACAUAAAAACCCUGAAAGGAAUGUGCCUUCACAACUAGGCACGCUCGGCUGGGGCGACGGAUGGAGAAGAUCUAAAUGGAGGGCAUCAACAGUGAUGAGAAGGAAAGGUUGAUGGCCAGAUCGGGAAGAGAGGGUUUGAAGCGUCCUUAAAUGCUGCCCUGAAUGUGGAAGACUUAAAGAUUCAAAGAUUUUUAUUGUCAUUUACACACGCCCUGUGUAUUGAAAUUCUUGUGCUUGCCAUUCCGGAAAGCCGACCAAUUUUAGAAUUAAAAUAAAAAUACAAUAUUUACAUAAAUGUACAUGAAAUAAAAAAUAAAAAUUAGGUACGGAUAAGGCAGAAAUGAGGUGAGGAGGAAAAGUGAAACACUGAGCUGGUUGUAAAAGAAAAAAACUUAAAUUAAAUGAGUGCAAUUGUUACGUGCCUUGUUUGUGUUUGCGUGUGUGUGUGUGUGAGUGAGAGUGGGUGUGAUUUCCUUCAGGUGUGCUGGCGACUUCACUCCUGCAGCUGAUCAGAAGGGGAUUAAAUGGCUGUGCCAAGCCAGAGAGGUUGCGAGGUGCGGACGUUUUGGGAGCCAGUAAAGAAGAAGCCAUACGCUGUACUCGUCUUCCUUUGGGAGAUUGUUUUCAGUUGUAUUGUUUUCCUUCAUUAAAUAUCCUUGUUUUGCCGUU